rnacentral:rRNA from 1 species
GUGGAUGCCCUGGCAGUCAGAGGCGAUGAAGGGCGUGCUAAUCUGCGAUAAGCGCCGGUAAGGUGAUAUGAACCGUUAUAACCGGCGAUACCCGAAUGGGGAAACCCAGUGUGAUUCGUCACACUAUCAUUAACUGAAUCCAUAGGUUAAUGAGGCGAACCGGGGGAACUGAAACAUCUAAGUACCCCGAGGAAAAGAAAUCAACCGAGAUUCCCCCAGUAGCGGCGAGCGAACGGGGAGGAGCCCAGAGCCUGAAUCAGCAUGUGUGUUAGUGGAAGCGUCUGGAAAGGCGCGCGAUACAGGGUGACAGCCCCGUACACAAAAGCGCAUGUGCUGUGAGCUCGAUGAGUAGGGCGGGACACGUGGUAUCCUGUCUGAAUAUGGGGGGACCAUCCUCCAAGGCUAAAUACUCCUGACUGACCGAUAGUGAACCAGUACCGUGAGGGAAAGGCGAAAAGAACCCCGGCGAGGGGAGUGAAAAAGAACCUGAAACCGU